GGAUCCAGACUUUGAUCCUGGCUCAGGAUGAACGCUAGCGGCAGGCUUAACACAUGCAAGUCGAGGGGCAGCGCGGGGCAGCAAUGUUCUGGCGGCGACCGGCGGAAGGGUGCGUAACGCGUGAGCGACAUGCCCGUUGCCCGGGGACAACCGGUGGAAACGCCGACUAAUCCCCGAUGGGACGGAGGCCCUCAUGGGUCUCCGUUGAAAGUUACGGCGGCGACGGAUUGGCUCGCGUCCGAUUAGCUUGUUGGCGGGGUAACGGCCCACCAAGGCUACGAUCGGUAGGGGUUCUGAGAGGAAGGUCCCCCACAAUGGAACUGAGACACGGUCCAUACUCCUACGGGAGGCAGCAGUGAGGAAUAUUGGUCAAUGGGCGGAAGCCUGAACCAGCCAUGCCGCGUGCGGGAAGGAGGCCCUAUGGGCUGUGAACCGCUUUUGCCUGGGGGCAAUAAGGGCGUCGUGCACGUCCGAUGAGAGUACCAGGCGAAUAAGCAUCGGCUAACUCCGUGCCAGCAGCCGCGGUAAUACGGGGGAUGCGAGCGUUAUCCGGAUUCAUUGGGUUUAAAGGGUGCGUAGGCUGUGCGUCAAGUCAGGGGUGAAAUUCCGGGGCUCAACUCCGGGGCUGCCCUUGAUACUGUCGCGCUGGAGUGCGGAUGCCGCCGGAGGAAUGAGUGGUGUAGCGGUGAAAUGCUUAGAUAUCACUCAGAACACCGAUUGCGAAGGCAUCUGGCGAAUCCGUAACUGACGCUGAGGCACGAAAGCGUGGGGAUAGAACAGGAUUAGAUACCCUGGUAUUCCACGCCGUAAACGAUGAUGGCUAACCGCCGGCGACACACUGUCGGUGGCCAAGCGAAAGCGAUAAGCCAUCCACCUGGGGAGUACGUCGGCAACGAUGCAACUCAAAGGAAU
rnacentral:rRNA from 1 species